rnacentral:siRNA from 1 species
UCAUUAGUACAAUAGUCCAG